AUACGUAGGGGGCGAGCGUUGUCCGGAAUUACUGGGCGUAAAGGGCGUGUAGGCGGCCUGGCAAGUCGGCUGUGAAAUCCCCCGGCUCAACCGGGGAGUGGCAGUCGAAACUGUUGGGCUUGAGUGCAGGAGAGGAGGGUGGAAUUCCUGGUGUAGCGGUGAAAUGCGUAGAUAUCAGGAGGAACACCGGUGGCGAAGGCGACCUUCUGGCCUGUUACUGACGCUGAGGCGCGAAAGCCAGGGGAGCGAACAGGAUUAGAUACCCUGGUAGUCCUGGCUGUAAACGCUGGGUACUAGGUGUAGGGGGUUUAGAUACCUUCUGUGCCGUAGUUAACGCAUUAAGUACCCCGCCUGGGGAGUACGGUCGCAAGGCUGAA
rnacentral:rRNA from 1 species